rnacentral:tRNA from 1 species
GGCUUGUGGCUCAGUGGUAGAGCGCUUGCCUAGCAAGGGAGAGGUCCUGGGUUUGGUCCCCAACACCA